rnacentral:rRNA from 1 species
AUUGAACGCUGGCGGCAGGCCUAACACAUGCAAGUCGAGCGAGAAAGGUCUUCGGACUGAGUACAGCGGCGGACGGGUGAGUAAAGCGUAGGAAUCUACCUGGUAGUGGGGGAUAACUUGGGGAAACUCAAACUAAUACCGCAUACGCCCUACGGGGGAAAGCGGGGGACCUUCGGGCCUCGCGCUAUCAGAUGAGCCUGCGUAGGAUUAGCUAGUUGGUGAGGUAAAGGCUCACCAAGGCGACGAUCCUUAGCUGGUCUGAGAGGAUGAUCAGCCACACUGGGACUGAGACACGGCCCAGACUCCUACGGGAGGCAGCAGUGGGGAAUAUUGCGCAAUGGGCGAAAGCCUGACGCAGCCAUGCCGCGUGUGUGAAGAAGGCCUUAGGGUUGUAAAGCACUUUCAAUUGGGAAGAAAAGUUGGUCGUUAAUAGCGGCCAGCCCUGACAUUACCUUUAGAAGAAGGACCGGCUAACUCCGUGCCAGCAGCCGCGGUAAAGUCGUACGA